AGGAUCAUUUGUAAGUUCUUCCGGAAAUAACCGAAAACGAGGGAAGGGGUAUAGAAUAUGUAAUGUAUUAUACGGUUUCAACGUCGACCACUGUGCUUACCUGUAUUGUAAUACCGAACUCGAACCGGUCCCCUUUAUAACCAGAAGACAGAAGACGGUAAAUUAGAAACGAUCAAUAAUUAAAUCAGGUAUCAAUAAUGAAAUUAAUAAUACAAUAAUUUAUAAUACAACACAGCUUGUUAAUCACUGUCAGCUACUUGGCAACUUCGAGAUAACGAUUAUCUGGUAUCAUUAUCGAUAAUCGAAUCGGUGAAAUCGAAGAUAGAAAAGAAACAUGUUCAGUCACCUGUUUCUGAUGGAACAACUACGCGAACAAUUGACAACUUACAAGAUAAAUUUCAAAUGCGUAAAACAUAAUGAAAUUGGUUAUGUUUUUCAGUGAACGUUGUAUCAAAGAGCAGACGAUCGAUAAUCGAUUUUUUUUGAUCACGCGAUUAGUUACUUUACUACUUUAAUGUCAAAUCACUCACACGAAAUAAUUCUACGGUGAACAAAGUAAUUACAGCAUCCUCCUACAGAGGACAAGGUCUGCUCUCGAUCUUAUGAAUCAUAGCGUUCGUAAAGCAUGUUCAGGUCGUUCUUUCACCGUUCGUGCAAAAAAGAGCAGCAGAGUUCAGUGAUCUGGAAAGUGUGGUUGCGACUAAUGCUUAAGGAAUCUCUGAAGAGUACGAGCCACUAUGAACAUCAAAUAUUAUCUAUCCUAUCUAUAUUUACUAUAUAUGUGUACAUAUAUUAAUAAGACACUGUACCAGUUAAAAUGCGAUGGUCUAUAAAUAACGGAUACCGUAUUCGCACCUGAAAUUCUUUAGUGGAUUAUGACGUUGUAUUUGUCGACCAUGACACAACGUGUGGUGCAAGUAGACGUAAUCUUCUUUAGACGGUACACGUGUAUUUAAUUCUAUCGACGCUCUGCACCUUUUGAUACCUUAGGAGUAACCUGGUUUCAUACAUAUUCAAUUAUUCUUUUUUCUAACUGUAAAUUUACAUGUUUCAAAAGCUUAAUUUAUCAUGUUUCAGCGUACAUCGAGGAAGCGUUUGCAUUUUCAGAGUGUUCGAUGAAUUUUUUAAAUUCGACCACGCGUACUGGUCCGUUUCCACGUUGUUCCCUGGAUUUCUCCAAAUAUAUGGGUCAUGGAGCAUUUCCAGAGAACUGUGGAACCCGGGAGUGUCGCUUAGCCGUUACGAAAUCAGCUGUGCGCCUGUCGCUGCUUGUUGUAGGUCGUGUCAGGACUCCUCCCGACCUCCCUUCUUCUCGUUCCCUCUCAUUCCAUCUAAUGGAAGAGCUGGCAGAGAAGAGGGGAUAUUUAAAGGGUCGCUUCAACUGGAGAUCAAUACGAAACCUACAUACCUACCUCCCUAUCAGCCCAAUGGGAAUGCCCAAAUGAUCUUCCUCUUUCAAUCGUUUCACCCCGUCAAUUGACCUCUAUCGAAAAUGUAUUCAAAUUCAAACAGCAAGACCAUAUGAUUUUUAUAAUUGGAAUAGAAACAUUGUUCAAUAUAUUAGAGAAGUUCAGUAAGGAUUUAAGAGGCGUAGGAUGAUAUACAACGAGCUCCAUCAUUAUCUCUGUUUAUCUUGAUGGGCGGAAGAAAGCAUUUCAAAGGAAAAGAUUGCCUCUUUGAGGGAACAGGAUUUUUUUUUUUUUUCAGGGUCAACUCCAUUGGUUUACCAUUUUCAAGAUCGAAACACAUUACCAAUGUCAUUCAAUGGACAGACAAGUACGGAAAUGUUUAUUCGCAAUCGAUACGUUUGAAAAUCGAUCGGUUUCGAAUAACGUGUAUUGUGUUCGAGACCAGAGAAGAGCGUGUAAUUGUUGACGACGAAGAGAAUGGAAGGUUUAUGAUUUCUAAGUCUACCUGGAAAGUACAAUCGAGUAUUAAACUAUGCUGUUGAAAAAAAUGUAUAUUUAAACAUUCCAUUUGUAUAAUACAGGAUGGUCAUCCGACUCAAGUAUGUAACACUUUUAAGCUUGCUGGCACAAGGUGGCCAGUAAAAUUCGUCAAUGGCCGGGGGAAAUUACUUUUCCUCGCUAGAUACGUUAUUUUUAUCCCGAGAUCUGUUUUGCGGUAUUUUUCAUCAACUCUGACUUUAAGUGAAACACACAAGGUGACGAAUCGACGAAGUUUCAAGGGAGAUCGCGCCUACCGGAGCCACCCAAGAAGAAAAUGACCAGUUCAACCGUGUAGUCUCCCACAAAAAUACCGCUUUAAAUGCCACGAUAAAUGCAUUAAAUGAUGGUUUAACCGCCAGAGAGCUAUGAUUUUAUCGCAUGACUGACUGGCACCGAGUACAGCAAACUAUUUGUCGUCCAGUUUCACAGCAGAACACCACGUAACUGCUAUCGAUCUAGCUAUUUCGUAACUCAGACAACAAAACUAUAAAUCUUCUUCACGCAGCGAUGAACCGAAAAGUAAUCGUAUUUAAUCAUUGGCUAAGGGCAGUUUUCAAUGCCAAUGUCUCUUGACCGUGUUAACCGGUGUUUGGUAUUGAAUUGGAAGACUGGUCGAUGCAGAGGAUAAACAGAAGGAUAGAGAAGCUCGAGAAUAACCGGAUGCACUAUAUCCAUUACUUCAAGAGAUCCGAUAUAUCUUACGCAAAGCACAAUUAUCUAGCAGUUCAACAGAGCUUAAAUUUAGCGAGGAAUUUUGCUAAGUCGUCGAGACCGUAAAGACUGGAGGGCCCAGCCAGUGCUGGGACCGAAAUACACGUCGAAUACACCGACGCUGCACGAAUUGUUUUUCUCGUUGUUGCUUUUUUACCUUGCUGUUUCGUUAAACCUUCUUGGUCUUGGUACAGUCUGGUAAAUAACUUGGCUUUCUUCACAACAACUAUGUAAUGCGUUGGCAUCAAGUCAUGUAGACUGUUCUCUUCCUAUGAACACUCAUCGUCAACUAAUCCCAUCAUAGUCUCUCAGAUAUUUUACCAAUGAAUUAAAUUGACAACGAGAGAAACAAAACAUCACACGUGGAGGACAAUUGAAAUGGUACUUGUAAAAUGUAUUUUUACAAAAUUGUAUGCUACUGUCGAGCAGCGAAAUUUUUAUAACAACCCAGGCUGCGAUACUCUAAUGCAUUUAUGUCGUAAGAUCGCGUCUUAAGACAUCGCUCCCUUGCUCGAGCAUCGUGGUGGCCGUGAAAUCAGCCACGCCGACCAUUCUAAAAUCGUGCCAGAAUUUCUUGCCAAAUUUAAUUGGAACCUCGCUGUCUUCUCUGUCGACAUGUAACCCGCACCUGCAAUCUUUCGUCGCUUAUCAGCUGCUAAUUUAUCGCUUGAUAGCAGACCAAUGUAUCAGCGAACAAUUUCUGGAUAAACGUUCAAAUUGUGGAAUAUAUGGAUGGUAAAAAAUAUUCAACUUGUUAUCUCGCUGGGAGUGAAAUUUGUUCCAAUAAUAGAAAUCUUGGAGCUCUAGGAACAGUCGAAAAUAGAUGAUGUGCUUGAGACAUUGAUCGAUUACCAUUUUUAUCAAAAAUACCAUGAGAGUCUUGUACUUACAAGUUACAAGGAAAUUUCUUUUUCAAAGGACAAGCUAUUUCUGUACGUGUACAGAAAACUUUGGAUGAACUGAGUCUUUGAAAAAUCGUGAAACACGAACACGUGCAGUUACUUGGAUUAUGUAAGGAACCUCGCGUAAGAACUGCUAAACGAUAAUGAUUUGUUAGUUUACAGGUUGGUUACACGUUCUGUUACGAAACGGAUUGUUAGCAAGUUGAAGAUACAAGAUGUUUCGAGAAUAAAAUUUAUUGAGUCUGAUGACUUUGUUAUCAGCAGACUUCAUUUUUUAAUCAUCAGUAAUAUUCCAUUUCAAAUAAACGAUAAAGAAGUUAAGAACUGAUGACUUUCUAAAUCUCUUGGUCUCGGUGAUUCAUCAAACAAGAUUCUUCAAAGGAUACUCCUCAGGAUAAAUGGUUACCCUCGACAAGUGGUAUUAAAAAUUGAAGUUUGUUUGCAUAAGGUUUUAAGCUUAUAUCGUUUAUAUUUCCUGGUACGUGUUUGUACGCGGCUCAAAAUAAUCAGAGACUGCUGCUCAAAUGAUUUUACUGCUCUCUGGAGCGUGUAAAUGUUUCAUAAAAAAGCUGUUGUUACAUUACAGAACAUCUCUUCUAUACCAUUCAGUCUGAGUUUGCGGAGUCCCGGUCGCAUUCGAUCUUCGGCCUCAGGUGUUUAUGCAAGUUUAAUUGUCCGUGGCAAAACUUUUUGGUGAGCACCAAUCUCGUCACCACGAUACACACCACGUGGUAAUAGCUCUAGGAAAACUAUGCAGUCUAUUUUCGAGCUUGAGGAUUCGCUGUUGUCGGUGAAUCGCGGGAUCUUCCUCUCUUUGCGUGUAAAGAAAGGUCUUUUGCUAGAAUACCAACUGUUUUCCUUUCUCGUUCGCAGAAAGAAAAGAUGAAAGAUACCUUAAUCCUCUGAUGCUAUUUUAUAGGCUUAAAAUAGCUUGAAUAUUUUGACAUAACAGUUGGCAAACUCUGACUUUAAGUACAUAAUAUCCUAUCAUUUCAAUUUAUAAUAUGCUUGGAUUUCAUGUAUGUACAUAUAACAUGAAACAGGCAUUAAGAAUCGAAGAUAAUUUUAUAAGGUAUGAAUUGAAGUUCUUGCGUGAGGAAGAUAAAUUUUAGCAGGGUCUGUAGGGCGGAUGAAACUCUCCCUCGGUGCAGAAUACAUUAUAUUGCUUUUAUUUCGCUUAUGCCAUGCGUAGCUAGCUGCAUUCUAUUUCUCUUGCUUCAGCUAAUUUCAUCGGUGCUUGGUGGAGGGAUCUUGCGAAUGUUUGUCGACGACUGUCUGGUGAUAUUUUGAGACAGUUGCCUGUUGACAAUAUAAUACUCUGCACAUCUGUCAUGAUAUUUGUAUGUAUAUAUAAAUUCGAUAUCAAUGCAUUAAUAAGUGUAAAGCAAGUCGGUAUUUGAUUUUGAACCGAUGGAAUGUUAAUAGAAUUUGAAUUUAAUUUGGGAUUUAAAAGAUUGGAGAGAUUUCUAUAAUCGUUUUAACUUAUUAUAUAAGAAAUUAGCGGUAAUUGUUGUUUUAUUGAAUUGCAAAUAAGAUAUGGGAUAGGCCACCCAUUGAAUUCCUUUACUCGAGAGCUCUGAAGAUCCCUUAUCAACUUUGUAUCAAAUUCUACUAUAUCGAUUGAGACGGUACUUCAUCAUAACGCUAUCAGUGGUAGGAAUUAAAAUUAAGAAACUCCUUUUGAAAUCUUUCUUUUUAUAGAAAGAAAAACGGCUGUAUAUUGGACCACGCUUCCACGCUUUCAGUACCAUUUUUUUGUAUUUUGUAGAUAUUGUAUUCUGUGAUCUGAUUUCAAAAUCAUUUUUGCGGUGUCUGAAUGAAUCUGUAAAAUCUGUGUUAUAUGCGAUCAUUAACAGAUGUCUCUACCCAUCGCGAUAAGCAGCUAGUGUUGAUAACAUAGAGCACUUCAUAUGAAAGUGCAGCUAACACAUACAUAUUCCAGGAUGAACAUAUGAAACUUUUAUUUAUUUUGUUAAAACAGAAUGUUUAGCAAAAAUCCAUCAUUAUGAGAGUGUUAUUAUAAAGGAUCCUGAAGCCGAGGAUAUGCUAUUGUGAGUCUGUGAAAAUUCCAUGGAUAUCGUUCCCUCUUUCAAAUCGAGUUGACAAUUAAGUAUUUAGGUGGCUGCGGGUCGCGUGUCAGAAGGAGUCAUCUUCCGCCAGCAUGUUCAAAGCGAUCUUAGGGGAGAUUAGCCGUUCAUCGAUACUCGUAUGCCACAAUUCUGAGGAUAUAUGGGCGCGCAGUUUUGUCGUUCUUUCCCCGGAUCACAUAAAAUUCCGUGUAAUCAGAUCUAAAGACGUCCCACGUAACAUUCCCACCCGCAGUCAUGUUAUAUUAUUAUACGUAGACGAUCUUAUGCGGGAUGAUAGUCCGACGUUUUUACCUUCUCACCCUCCUGUAUCAGCGGACUCUAUGAAAAACUGAAUUUCUCGUCUCACGAAACAUGGGGGUAGAGGUCCUCGACUAAUUGCCAUCAAUGUGGAUCACAGUCUCUGUACGAAAAAUUUCUAUGGCAUAUUGCUUCCAUUCGCGUGAGAAUCUGAGCUUCUCUCAGACUUUUCAUGAACGUUGGUUCUAUGGAGUUUUUAGUCCCUUACGAUAAGUAAUACGGUGAAGUACAUAGCAAUUUAUAGGUAAGUUUAAAAAAUUGAAAAUGAUAAUAUUGUGGGUUAUUAAAAGCUAAUCAAGUUAUACUUUGUUAUAUCAUAGAUUGAUAUUAGAGGAAAAAUAUGAAUAAAUCAAGGUAUCAUUAGAAGAACACCCUUGUACGCGAAUAGAGGACAUACACGAUGGCGACGGAUGUGACUACGUCGGGUUAAUAAGGAUGCGACGUCAUCGGGUUGCGACGUUACAUUUUCUUCUUUCAAUCACGAUCUCUGAAUCCAAGAUUAAACGCCAGUUUAAUUACCAUUGCCAUUAAGCACCAGGUUUACGACGUUUUUAUAAAGAACAAUCAUGAAAAAAUCUCAACACUUUCUUUAUAAGAAUUAAAAAGGUUCUAUUAAUUCUCAACUCUAAUCCAUUUUUACCUCUGGAAGCAUUUACUGCUGGAACGAAUACACCUGUUGCACCUCGACUGAAAGAAACUUUCGCUACAAUUAAAGGAAUUCACCUUUUCUCAAAAGCAAAUCUCAGGUAGAAUCUACGCGUGGACUCGAAUCUUUGAAUGGACUGUGUGAUAUUGAAUGUUACAAAGGUUUCCGUGUCAAGUCGCGGGUGCAGAUCGGCUACCAGUAUAUUUCUCCUGAAAAUAUAACAUUAAAUCUUCAACGUCACCCAUCUUCCUACGCUUUGAUGCGUGAAAUGUACCAGCAUGAUAUAAAAUGACUAAUACCGAUGAUACACGUCAAGUCUCGCAUCGUGCAUCGACUGCUGGGAUAUUGCUGCCAUUUUCUAUGGGGGGUGAAAAGAAGAAAAAAAUUUUUAUUGCGAUUAUCUCGAUCAAGAAUCUCAUGUGGGCACGUUAAUUCGUAGACCUUACUGUAUAAUUGCUUACGAUGAACACGAAUUUCCCUCAAACUAACAAUUAGCCAUCUUACACGAAAAACUUAAUGGAAAACUUAGUGCAGUAAUUUUCAUGAAACUUUCAGCUUUAAAUUUAAAUUUUAAAGACAAAUGCUCGGACUGUACCCGGAGGAAGUCCUGAGAAUGCGUUCACCGGCGAUAUCUGCGCGAACAGAGAACGCUCAAUUGGUCGGUCCUGGUAGUGUUCACUGGGGCCAACCACGGCAAUACUAUCCGGUCGGCGCAUACCUACGACGUAAAAAAAGCGGCUCGCGUGCAAAAAAGAUAGAUACCCUGAACGUCCUGUCCAAUCUAAAUACAUAUAAGUAAAUACAUAUACGUAUAAUACUUCUAUCAGCUGCAAUUUUUUCUUCUGGACCAAACAAUGAAGCAGAGUCUCAUCGACUUGGAGUAAUUUCAGGCGAAAACUAUUGAAAAUUUGGAGCAAUUUAGAUCUUGAAAAGGAGGAUCUCUAUUAUAUCUUACAUACUCCGUCACUUUUAUGAAGCAUUAUAAUAUUAAUAUUAUUUUGAAGAAAAUUUAGUUGAAUAUGUAGAAUUGAAUUUGUAAUUGUUUUAACAGAAAUGUAAACAGAAGUCUGUCUGGGAGGAAAAACGACCGUAAGUGGUUUCAGAACGUAGUUAUUGAAGGACAAAUAUGGUCGGAAGGGGAAGAGGUGGAGCCAGAAACCCUUCUAUUUGCUGGACGACGUAGUGGGCGCAGAGCGUAUCAUAUCCAUUCGUUCUUAUCGUUCCUCGGCUCUUUACCCCUCUCUUGCUUACCAGAAGAAGUAGUGGGAGAUAAUUAUUCUGUCUUCUCUGUCUUCUAUCCGUCAACACCCCCCAACUUCAAUUUGUCCCUUACGAAGUCUGUCAUGUGCUUCGACAUGUCGGGUAACUUUUUUGUUUGAAACAUAAUGGUAUUGUUUGACCCAGUUCAAAGGUUAACAUUUUAUUCGAGAAAAUAGAAAAGCAAAUAUGGUACUCGUAAUAAAAAGGAAAGGAAGCAAGUAAACUGUCACUUAUAUUUUAGACGUUGACAGCCCCGAUAGAAAGGUAUUGAAAACUAAUUUUUUAAUAUUAACAGAGAAACUCAUACAUGUCUUCAGUUUAUUAAAUGUUCCCUCCACUCAACAAUUAUUACCACUUCCACCAAACAGUAGAAAAAAAAUUGAACUUUUUUUUCUAAUUACAACAGACGCUUAAUCCAUGUGGAAACUGCAUUUGUAAAACCAUGAGGAGGAAUUUGAAUGUGCCCCGCGACUAGCUGUCCUUUCACCAAGCCACGUGUUUCCUGUUGCACACUCAUCACCAGAACUGUUCGGCCAGAAUCGGGCGAGAUCGCCUCGCUUGGAACACCGUGGCACUUCUGAAGAAACCUCUGUCUCGGUUAAGCCUAACUCAAAACAACAUCUUCAACGACGUUCAUCUUUCGGAUAGGAAUAUAAAAUCUCGAUUACUGAAACCCACGACACCACACCGAGGGUGCGGGACACGGAAGAACGAGAAAAAGGGAUGUCCGAAAAAGAAAGUCGUCCAGAGGGUCAGUGCAGGAGGCGACCCGUUACUGCAGCCCGGCACCACCGGACCUUCACUUAUAUCGUCUCUCGGCUAAUAACGCUAGCCAGUUAAGUUACCGACUUCUCGCUCUUGCACUCGCCGUCCAUCCCUCCGGCUUGGCCGCCUACCUGUAUCACAGAUAUCCUGCGAUUCGAACCGUCUUCACCCGCAUCUAUCCAUCUCCAAUUUGCUUCAACAUUCUCUGCCCGGCUGGCUGUGUCCCGAAACUAGACGUCAAGACUAGACGGUUGGUCCCAGAUGAGAGAUGCGGGGAUGUUGAGCGACUUGAGUCGCGGUGUGAUUCAUAAAGAAGGUAUAAUUAUCUUGGAAAUAAGAAAAGCUUCGAAACAAAUGCAGCCGAUGAGAGGUGCCUAGAAUAAGAAGACUUUCUUGAAGGUUCACCUGUAAGUCUCUCUUCUAUAGAACUAAAGGUUACUUCUAUCUUUCCAAUAAACCAAUACAUCAAAUUCAA